rnacentral:rRNA from 1 species
UACAGAGGGGGCAAGCGUUGUUCGGAAUUACUGGGCGUAAAGGGCGCGUAGGCGGCCUGUUAAGUCGAACGUGAAAUCCCCGGGCUCAACCCGAGAACUGCGUCCGAUACUGGCAGGCUUGAAUCCGGGAGAGGGAUGCGGAAUUCCAGGUGUAGCGGUGAAAUGCGUAGAUAUCUGGAGGAACACCGGUGGCGAAGGCGGCAUCCUGGACCGGCAUUGACGCUGAGGCGCGAAAGCCAGGGGAGCAAACGGG